CUACGGGUGGCACCAGUGAGGAAUAUUGCACAAUGGGGGGAACCCUGAUGCAGCAACGCCGCGUGGAGGAUGACGCAUUUCGGUGUGUAAACUCCUUUUAUAUGUCAAGAAAAUGACGGUAGCAUAUGAAUAAGCACCGGCUAACUCCGUGCCAGCAGCCGCGGUAAUACGGAGGGUGCAAGCGUUGCUCGGAAUCACUGGGCGUAAAGGACGCGUAGGCGGGUUGGAAAGUCAGGUGUGAAAUCCUACCGCUUAACUGUAGAACUGCACUUGAAACUUCUAAUCUAGAGUAUGGGAGGGGGAGAUGGAAUUAGUGGUGUAGGGGUAAAAUCCGUAGAUAUCACUAGGAAUACCUAAAGCGAAGGCGAUCUCCUGGAACAUUACUGACACUAAGGCGUGAAAGCGUGGGGAGCAAACAGGAUUAGAUACCCCCGUAGUC
rnacentral:rRNA from 1 species